rnacentral:pre_miRNA from 1 species
UAGACAGAUUAUUGUUUCGACUGUAUUCACGAUAUGUAUUUGUGAAUACAGUAACGUAAAUAGCGGAGUUCAUGGUCUAUCCAGCUGUGUUUAAACGGAAAGUGAAUCAAUUAAUAUAAUAGACUCCU